GCUGGGGUGGCGGAGUAGCUAACGCACGUGGCUGUAGACCACGCGGUCGAAAGGCCUUCGGGGGUGCAAGUCCCUCUCCCAGCA
rnacentral:tRNA from 1 species